UCUCGCUCCCUCCUACUCUCUCUGAAAAUCAAUGGAAAAAUAUCCUCAGGUGAGGAUUAAUUUAAAAAAAAAAAAAAUGCAGCAGGUUUCUAGGGAAAUGUAGUGGGGACACUGGAAAAGAAGAUUUCAGGAGACAAAGCAAGGGGUGAGGUUGGCAUGCGGGUGUUGAAGACGGUGCAUGUCCCUUUAAGAGGAGGACAACAGCCCAACUGGCCUGGCCGGGGCCGUCUGCACUGCCCUCUCCGGCUGUCUCUGAGCUGCUGGCCGGUCAGAAGCACUUGCCCCCAUCCCCUUUGCGGCCUGGAUUUUCCAGAGCUGCAGCCGCCCGGAGCUGGCUCCUUACUCUUUCCUUUCCAAAGCCCUCCAUCCACUCCCCGAACAACAACUAAUGGGUCCCAGCUGUUGGCAUGCAGCUGUGGUCCAGCCCACGGCGGAGCAAUAGGUUUUCUGACCCGAAAGGCCGCCAGUGCAGACAGAGGUUGGUGUUGAGUCAUUCUCACCCCGCGUGAACCCAUGCCAGGAACAGCCCGUCCUGUGUGGGUGCCCGCUGAAGUGAGGGGUUUUCUCUGGGCUGCUGACACUGAGCACGUAAACCUCAGGAUCCGCCGAGGGUGAAACGUGUGUUUGAGUACUUUUUCUUUCUUCUUUGGCAGGCAGGCACCUGAGUGACUUAAAAGCAAACUUAAAAGAACAAGGCAGUGGGUGGAAAAGGACUGUCACCCGGGCUGGAAAGCUGGCCUUCUCUAGCAGGGAGGCGGCAUCCUUCCGUUUUCUCCCCGGCUGUGCGGUGACCGCCCGGAAGGGGGUCUUGCUGCGGCAGCAGCGGCAGGAGGGGGCUGUGCAUGUCAGUGCCCUUCUCCCCAAGGAAUCAGGGUCCCCUUUCCAGAGAGGAUGCCCAGGAGAUGGCUCACUGCAGAGAUGUCUCACUUUACCCUUAAGGCAGUAAUGCAGGGUGUCAUCUGUGCGCCUACAGCACAUCCUACAGGGUUACAUCAAGAGUUUGUGUCCUUUAA